rnacentral:lncRNA from 1 species
GAGCAACAAUGUAGGGUUUUCAAUUAGGAUUUGCCGCCGACACAAGGCUAGGGUUUUAGAGAGAAACAAGAGGGGUUGUCUCUUGGUAUAACUCUAGGGUUGGGCAAAAGGGGAUUGAUUACACCUUGGGAAACACUUAUCAAAUUGAGUCUCUUGGCCACGGGAAGAGAUUCGGGUUUUGGGUAGAAUUAGGAUUAAUUCUUGUAACCCAAUUGGGAAUUUCUUUGUAGCGUUACUCUUUGAUAUAGUGGAACGGAGGGGCUGCUCUCUCCCCCAGACUAGGUCAUUAUUGGACUGAACUGGGUAAACAAAUAUUGUGUUCUUUCUUCUCCUUUAUCUUGUUUAUUGGUUAUUAUUAUUGUUUAUUCCACUUAAUUAUUGGUUGCCGUUCUAUUGCUCCACACAUCAAGUUCUUUUAUUGGUGUGAUUUUAAG